rnacentral:rRNA from 1 species
CGAAUCAGUCGCUGGGUGUAGACCCGAAACCAAGUGAUCUAUCCAUGGCCAGGAUGAAGGUGCCGUAACAGGUACUGGAGGUCCGAACCCACUAGUGUUGCAAAACUAGGGGAUGAGCUGUGGAUAGGGGUGAAAGGCUAAACAAACUUGGAAAUAGCUGGUUCUCUCCGAAAACUAUUUAGGUAGUGCCUCAAGUAUUACCUGCGGGGGUAGAGCACUGUUUAGGCUAGGGGGUCAUGGCGACUUUACCAAACCUAUGCAAACUCCGAAUACCGCAGAGUACAGCUUGGGAGACAGUAGCACCGGGUGCUAACGUCCGGACUCAAGAGGGAAACAACCCAGACCGCCAGUCUAAGGUCCCUAAAAUUGGCUAAGUGGGAAACGAAGUGGGAAGGCUAAAACUAGUCAGGAUGUUGGCUUAGUAAGCAGCCAUCAUUUUAAAGAAAGCGUAAAUAGCUCACUUGAUUCGAGUCGUCCUGCGACGGAAGAUGUAACGGGGC